rnacentral:rRNA from 1 species
GACGAACGCUGGCGGCGUGCCUAAUACAUGCAAGUAGGACGCAGUUGCGAACGGGUGAGUAACGCGUAGGGAACUGCCUGUUAGAGGGGGAUAACUAUUGGAAACGAUAGCUAAUACCGCAUACUAGUAGAUGGACCUGCGUUGUAUUAGCUAGUAGGUAGGGUAAUGGCCUACCUAGGCGACGAUACAUAGCCGACCUGAGAGGUUGAUCGGCCACACUGGGACUGAGACCCGGCCCCGACUACUACGGGAGGGAGCAGUAGGGAAUCUGCGGCAAUGGGGGGAACCCUGACCGAGCAACGCCGCGUUAGUGAAGAAGGUUUUCGGAUCGUAAAGCUCUGUUGUUAAGGAAGCGGUACUUAACCAGAAAGGGACGGCUAACUACGUGCCAGCAGCCGCGGUAAUAC